GCUUCAGAGACAAAUAUGACAUUAAAAAGUAAUGUAAUGGGAGUGUGGUGUUCCUGGAAGUGGGAGGUGCUAGUGAGACACAGACACACAGAGGUCUCUCAUCCAAUUCAUUUCCUUUCCCAGAGUGGUCCAUAAUUAACUUUUGCCUGGUUGGCACUUCCAACCAGAUAUAAGGAGGCUGAGGCCCCAGCAUCCAUAAGUCAGAUACCUUCUUCCUCUGUGGGUCCUCUAAGAAGUACACAUUCAUCUGUAGGAGGGGGAAAAGAAGUUAUCCGUCACCAUGAGUACGGACGCGGAGAUGCAGAUCUACGGCAAGGCUGCCAUAUACCUUCGUAAAUCUGAGAAGGAGAGGAUGGAGGCACAAGCCGCACCCUUUGAUUCAAAGAACGCCUGCUAUGUGGCAGACAAGGCGAGAGAGAAUAGAGUAGAUGUCACGGGUCAAAAUUUUGAUUGAUGACCCUAUGUGAACUCUAUGUGAACCCUAUGUAGUGAUGACGUGUGCAUGUC